rnacentral:rRNA from 1 species
CCUACGGGAGGCAGCAGUAGGGAAUCUUCCGCAAUAGACGAAAGUCUGACGGAGCAAUACCGCGUGAGUGAUGAAGGUCUUCGGAUCGUAAAACUCUGUUGUCGGGGAAGAACAAGUAUCGGCCUAAUACGCCGGUACCUUGACGGUACCUGAUUAGAAAGCCCCGGCUAACUACGUGCCAGCAGCCGCGGUAAU